rnacentral:lncRNA from 1 species
UGCUAUCCUUUCAGCCAUCUCAUUGUUUGCAGGAAUGUUUUCAGCCUCUGCACACAGCAUAGCUGAACGUCAGAGCUGUUGAUGAAGUGUGGAGUUAUCUUACUGACUCUUGGAGACCAGAAGGUUUGGGGUGGCCAAGGAAAUCUUCAAAAUCAUCAUCUUGUAUCAAGACCAUCACCUUCAAACACUGUAGAAUCCAAGGGACUCCAGGCCAUGGCUGUUUUGUUCAACUUUGAUCCUGUGCCUAACCAGACCAGACACAAAACUGACCUUCAAGUAAGUCAUGAAUGAACAUACAAAUGAAUGAGGCCAGCCUUGAAUUCCUCCAUACCUAAUGCACAUUAGAAUGGUAAAGAUGAGAAGCUAUGAGAAGACAUUUUAUUGUCAGACUUUAGUCGUAGCCAACAUUGGUUGUCCAACGCAAUAUCCUCCUCCCCUUCAUCUUACUUCCAACUCUGGUUUGAACAGCAAUGUUAGAAUACUCUCUCCCAGAAUUCCAAGUUGCUGGAGAUGACCAAGUCACCAAUUGUGGCUAAUGAGGUGUCAACUAAAGUAAAGGAAGUAGGGCUUCCAGGAAAUUGUUGUCUGCCUGAUAACAAGAGACAGACUGGCGCACACCUUUCUUUUUUUUUUUUUUUUUUUCUUUCUCUCUCUCUUCUUACUCCCUCUUCUUCCUAACUGAAAUGCAGAAGCAGUGCCUGGAGAUGCAACAGCCAUUUUGCAACCAUGAGGGUGAAAGUCACAUGCUCAGGGCAUCAGAGUGCUUGAUUCUUCCUGGAACUGCUGCUCCAGCCCUGGGCGGCACCCUCCAGAACAUGUUACAUGUGAGAAGAAUAAACUUCUUUUUCUAGGUUUAUUGAUCCCAAACCAUCCUUGGAAAGAAUUCAGGAUUAUAUGAACUUGAGAGGGGGAAAGGUUAUAUCAUUUUUACAAAUCUCAAACUUGAGAUGAAGCAUUCCCUUCCAUUAUAAAUAUGGGCAACAGACCGGAGCAGUAUCAGUGAUGCCUGCAGACUUUGUUUCUGGAAAUCACAGGUGUUCUCAUUUAACAUUGCAGUUACUGUCUUUAUCUUGAUUUAUCACUUGUAGUUAUCGCUGUUUUGAAAUUCUGGUGGUUUGUUAUUAGACUCACUGCUUGAUCUAGUUAUUUAAUGCAUUAAUUUGAAAAGGACAUAUAUUACCAUGUCCCAAAUUUGUAUUUUGGAAAAAUAUUUGAUAACUAGUUCAAUAUAAUUUGUUUCCAUCA